CAAGGGGUGUUUUGAACACCAAGAACUGCUAAUUC
rnacentral:tRNA from 1 species